rnacentral:rRNA from 1 species
UUUCGCAAUGCCCGAAAGGGUGACGAAGCGACGCCGCGUGAGUGAGGAAGGCCUUCGGGUUGUAAAGCUCUGUCAGGAGUUAAGAAAUAUAAGUGUGUUAAUACCACAUUUAUUUGACGAAGGCUCCAGAGGAAGCCACGGCUAACUCUGUGCCAGCAGCCGCGGUAAUACAGAGGUGGCAAGCGUUGUUCGGAAUUAUUGGGCGUAAAGAGCACGUAGGUGGGUUUGUAAGUCAGAUGUGAAAGCCUUCUGUUCAACGGAAGAAUUGCAUCUGAAACUGCGAGUCUUGAGUGUAGGAGGGGAGAAUGGAACUUCUGGUGGAGCGGUGAAAUGCGUAGAUAUCAGAAGGAACGCCGGCGGCGAAAGCGAUUCUCUGGCCUAUUACUGACACUCAGUGUGCGAAAGCUAGGGGAGCAAACGGGAUUAGAUACCCCGGUAGUCCUAGCUGUAAACGAUGGGCACUAAGUAGAGGGGUUUUA